CUUGCACCCUCUGACCCUCACAAGCCGCUUUGUAUCAUGUGAGUUGGAUUGGAAUGACUCGGUAACCCGGUUUUCUUUUAGAAAAGGUCUCAACUCUUAGUACAGCAGCGUUAUUUUGAUUUCUGCGAUCCGAUCCAUGACCUUAAAGAUACCAACCUUUCUUCGCGGGUAAGAUUUUCAAUUUCUGAAGAAAUCAAACCAGAAGCCAGAAGGACUUUCAGAAGGCUUUGCAUCGUUCUUCACUCAUCCUUUCCUUUGGGUUGGAGGAGACCGACGAUGGAGGGCCAGGCGGCAAGGCAGAUCAGUGAGGGAAAUAGAGAAUCGCUUUCUGCAACUCCAAAAGCCAUUCUUUUCUCUCUUCCCUUCCGAUCUUUAUACACAUAUCUCUUCUUUCUGUUAAUCUCUCUUCAUUGCGUUCUCUCCACAAACAAACACAAACCCAUAAACCCAGAAAAAAAAAUCAAAACCCCGUUUGAAUUUGUAAGCUAGCAAUUAUGUCUGUAAGCCCUCCUCGUGUAAGAGUCAAUGGCAUCAGGAGCUACCGUCUUUACUGGUGUUACCAGUGCCAACGAACAGUCAGGGUUGCCGCUUCCAUCACAUCUGAGAUUUUCUGUCCCCGUUGUUUCGGUCAAUUCCUCCAUGAGCUCGACGUGGCCAGGCCCCGGUUUGUUCUUAACCUCUCUGGUCUCGAUUCCUCUCCUGAGGCCCGGUUAUUGGAAGCCCUGUCUCUCAUGCUUGACCCCCCAAUGCGUCGGCCUGUUCAUGAUUUCGAUGGGAGAUUUCGCUUGGAACCGGAGGCUGAACUUCGGGAUCGGCCCAGACGUUGGAUUAUAGUCCGACCCACUAACCGUCCUCGUCCGACCGGAACGAUGUCCCCGCCGGAAAAUCUGUUGCCCCAGGCUGCUGGCCCCAGAGAUUACUUUGUCGGACCAGGGCUGAAUGAACUGAUUGAGGAAUUGACCCAGAAUGACCGACCAGGUCCGCCUCCAGCACCUGCUUCAGCCAUUGAUGCCAUGCCGAGAGUGAAAAUCACAGAGAUCCAUUUGAAGGGUGAUUCGCAUUGUCCAGUUUGUAUGGAGGAGUUUAAGAUUGGUGAGGAAGUUAGGGAGAUGACGUGUAAGCAUGUUUACCACUGCGACUGCAUUGUUCCCUGGUUGCAAAUUCACAAUUCUUGCCCAGUUUGCCGCCAUGAACUGCAGGCUUCCUUUGACAGUGAUCUUCGUAUUGACGAUGUUGCGGAUUCUCGAAGGGAGGAUGUCAGUAACCGCCGCCGGUGGAGGUGGAGUCAAUUGUUCUCUUUAUGGCCUUUUCGAUUGUCUGCUAACGGGAGGUACCGACACAUUCACUCUCAGGAUGACAGCAUCACUGCUACUCGUAAUGCACACUCCUGGUGGCGUUCUUGGUUUCUUCUCUAGACUUGUAUAUGUUGCUGCUUGCACUAAAAGCAAUUUAUGUCCAUGUUAGGACUGAACUGUUUCUUAGACAGGUUUUUGCUGGUUCUGUAGAUGCUAAUGGCUUUCAGUGUUUCACAACCUUCUACUUCAUGGUGAUGACUAGCUGAAGCAAUUCUAUUUAAAGCAGAAGCUGAGAUCAGCAUCUAAGAUUUCAAACGUUUAAAUAAUAUCCAUCCAUUAAUUCUUUAUAUCCUUUAAUGAUCCUACAUAAGUUACUGUUGUAAUUAAUACAUUGGUGUGGAAUAUGUGAAUAAAUAUUUUUCAGUUCAAGGAUGUCAAUCAUUCUGUU